CUAAUCAGAGUUUAGGGAGUGGAGGGAUCCUAGGUUGGCAGAGAAGUAAUUCAAGUAAAGACAAAGAUUGCAAUGGGAUAAGAGGAUGAGAAAGCUUAUUUUUAUUAGUUUGAAAGCUAGGAUUAAAAUUCAGAAUAACCUGAUAAAUCAAGAAAUAAUAUACUUUGCAUUUGUGUCUUAAGACUUUAUUUCCCAGUGCAGGUCAGAAAAAUAAGGAAAAAAUAACUUACAUAAAAAAUGAGACAGUGAACAUUUUUUUCAAUUAUGACUAGAAAAUCUGUCCAGUCUUAAACAAGUGCAAUGUGAAUAUGAGUUGAAAAUGAAACACUGUAGUUAAAAUAGGAAAAAAAAAUUUUUUGGCCUUUUAGGGCUGCACCUGCAGCAUAUGAAAUUCCCAGGCUAGGUGUUGAAUUGGAGCUGUAGCUGCAGGCCUAUACCACAGCCACAGAAACGCCCAGAUCUGAGCUGGGUCUGCCCACAGCUCAUGGUGGGAUCCUUAAUCCAUUGAACAAAACCAGGGAUUGAUCCCGAAUCCUUAUGGAUACUAGAUGGGUUCAUUACUGCUGACCCACAUAGCAAAUAGUAUACAAUUAAAACUAUAAAUCUUACAUAUAAAUAAUAAAAUAACAAAAAGUUAUAGCUUAUGUUUUCUCCAUUUACUUUAUAAUGUUAAUUUAUAUUUAUUUCCAGCUGGCCCUAUAUGGAAAUCACCAUCCCACCUAUCCCCUACCGCCAUAUAUUAAACUUUUUUCCUGAAAAAUAGCCAGUUUAAUGAGUUCUAUCAAAUGUUGUAUUUUUUUUUUACCCAAAAUGUCAUGAUAAUUUUUCCUUUAAAACCAUGUAGGGAUCAUUGACUCGGUGUUUGUUAUCUUUUUUUAAAAAGUAAAAAAAAAAAAAAGAUUGGUUAACCAGUGUUUUUAGUCAACAAAUGUAUGUUGAUACCUAUUAUGUGCUUGCUGAAAUAGUGAGGAAAAAUAGACAUAGGUGUUGCUCUUCUGAACUUAAGUUCUAGAGUUAGAGAAAAAUAUUAGUCAGAUAUUAAUAUGUAUAAAUGCAAAGUUGGAACUGUUUUCAUUUGCUGUAGAGAAGUACAUGGUUUUUAAUAUGAGGGCUUUUGGAAGGAUAAUUUAAUCAAUUAGUGGGACCACACCAAGGGAAGGGUUUGUUUUUUGUUUGAGAAAGUGUUUAGUUAGCUGAAAUCUUGAUGAAUUUGAGUUACGUUGAUCAAGAGGGAGAAAAAAGUUGGUGGAAGAAAGGAGGAUCUAUGUACAAGAUCCUCAUGUGGGAAGAUUUUAGUACCUAACAUUAAAUGAAAGUCAGAAUGACAGAAGCCAAGGACUAGAGAGUGCAUGGAAAGAGGUUAUGCUAAGGAUUAUGUCGGAGCCAAAUUGCAGGAUAUUGUGGGCCAAGGUUUUUUAUCCUUAGAGUUAUUAUUUAAAUUUAAACUAAUAUUCUUUACACUCUACAAAGACUUACUACUGCAGUUGACCCUUGAGCAGCUUGGGAGUUAGUGAUGCCACUCCUACAAGCAGUCAAAAACCCAAGGAUAAUUUAUAGUUGGCCUUAUUAUCUGAGGUUCCUCUGUGUGGGAAGAUUCAACCAAUUGCAGAUCCCAUAAUACUGUAGUAUUUAUUAUUGGGGAAAAAAAAUCUGGAUUUUUUGGAUACACAUAGUUCAGACUCCUGUUGUUCAAGAGUCAGCUGUACUUGCUCCGGUGGUUGUAUUCUAAGAGUUCAUUUUUCUUUCAGUUUAAGACUUACAGUGCUUUUCCUAUGGAAUCAUUGUUGUAGAGAUCAAGUCUCCUAAAACAUUUUUAACACAGUUAACAGUGGAAGGUAGUGAAUAUUAACAUUGAGCCCUUAAGAAAACUAGGUGGAAGAUAGAAAAGAAAAACAAAAAAGGGGAUUAAAAUUGGUAUCUCUACAUACUCAAGAGAAUGUCCUGAGUGUGACUGACUGAGUUUGAAUAAUAAGGAAAAAAGUCUGCAAGUGUAGGAGGCUAGUGUAGGAGAUCCUAGCAAAUGAUUAUCAUAUUCAGUUGGACAGCUUAAGACCCUCACUUGGUACCUGUAUGAAGCAGUGUGAUAUCCGAAGCAUACCAAGGCAGGGAAAGUAGAAGACAUCAUAUUCACAAAUUCAAUGUUCCAAAUCUAGGAAAUAUUUGUGUCAAUGUUAUUAAAACAUAAAAUUAAAAAAUAUAUUUUAAGUAGAAUUGCAAAAUGGUAAUACAAUGCCAACUGUGUUUUGGUUUUUUUAGAGUAAAAAAGUAAGAAGUUAGAAGAAUUAUAUUUUACUAAGUAACAUUAUCUCAGGCCUUUAUGGUAGCUUUGAGAAUAUUGCUGAAUCUCCCUUGGAGUAGUGCUCAUAUUUAUUUGUUUGUUUUUUGGUUUAUUUUUAGCCACACCCAUGGCAUCUGGAAGUUCAUGGCCAGGGAUCAAAUCUAAGCCUCAGCUGAGGCCUACAUCACAAGCUGUGGCAAUGCCAGAUCCUUAACCCUCUGUGCUGGGCCAGGGAUUGAACUCAUGCUACCACAGAGAUGAGAUGGCAUCCUUAACCUGCUGUGGCACAGCAGGAACUCCUGAAGUAGUACUUUUAAAGACAAAGUUGAAGGAAUUUAAUUUUUAAUCUUAUUUUCCAUUUAACUUAGAACAUCGUCAAUAAGAUAGUUUCAUUUCUUGUUGAUAUUUAAAUUUUAAGCCUCUUUGAACACCAGCUUACAUCUAUAUUAGUAAAUAAUCUAGUUAAUAAAGUUUAUUAAGAAUAUUAUAAAAAGAUGGAUCAGUUACUUGAAUUUUAUCAAGACCAAAAUGU
rnacentral:lncRNA from 1 species